AUGUGCAUGCAGAUGUAUGUAAAUAGCAUAAGCCCAGUGGAUAAUAAUGAUGAUAAUAACAGGAUACAAAACAUUUUUUCUAUGCGUCCGCGCUUCCUUAUGCCAAAUGGUGCGGUGGUGUCUGGUAAACGAGGUCUCCAGUCGGUCUCUUCUUGUGUGGAAUUGGUGUGUGUGUGUGUGUGUGGUCUCUGCCUGUUGUUACAUUACCCCUGGGAAAGGGGAAAGCCAGGGCUGCGAUUUGAGAUGAGAAGAAAACAUUACAAAUUUACAUCAAGGUCUCCGGUUUCAAGGGGACUUUGA
rnacentral:rRNA from 1 species